AGCAGCCGCGGUAAUUCCAGCUCCAAUAGCGUAUAUUAAAGUUGUUGCAGUUAAAAGCUUGUAGUUGAAUUUCGGGAUCAAUUAAUCUGUCGUACCUAUGGUACGUACUGAUUUUAUUGGUUUCUCCCUUCUGACGAACCAUGAUGUCAUUAAUUUGGUGUCGUGGAGAAUCAGGACUGUUACUUUGAAAAAUUGAGUGUUUAAAGCUGAAUACAUUAGCAUGGAAUAAUGAAAUAGGGCGUUUGAUCCUAUUUUGUUGGUUUCUAGGAUCGACGUAAUGAUUAAUAGGGAUAGUUGGGGCAUUAGUAUUCAAUUGUCAGAGGUGAAAUUCUUGGAUUUAUUGAAGACUAACUACAGCGAAAGCAUUUGCCAAGGAUGUUUUCAUUAAUCAAGAACGAAAGUAGGGAUCGAAGAUGAUCAGAUACCGUCGUAGUCUUAACCAUAAACUAUGCCGACUAGGGAUCAGAUGAUGUUAAUUUUUAAUGUACUCUAUUCGGCACCGUUACGGGAAACCU
rnacentral:misc_RNA from 1 species